rnacentral:lncRNA from 1 species
AAACUAAGAUCCACAAGCUCUGGUGACAAACCAUCAGUUGUCAGGAAGCAUGAUGACCCCACAAGUACAUCUCAAGAGGCUGGUGGUGCACCAUCAUCAAGAAGCUACAGUAGUGAACCAGGCCCAUCUAUAUCUCGACAAACUGAUGCUGCACGUUUAAGAAGAGGGAGCAACUACUCCCAUACAGGAGAUGGCAAAUCACAGACUAGGUCUUUUCUGGAUCUCCUUGAUGAAAGUGACUUCAGUGAGAGUGAUGAUGACUGGCUACCCGAGGCAGUGACGUCAUCUGGGAGACUAAUUGAGUUGAAGAAGCUGUCACUUCUUCGGACUCGGAUUCUGAAGAGGAUCUCCAGGAGAUAUCUGUAUCUUCAACUGCUGGGGAGCCAAGAAGAUUGUUUUACCUACGAAAUAAAUCUUUCGUAGACCAUGCUCCUCAGAAUGCAACAGAAAAUUUAGGAGCUUGUAACUUACUGAAACCAAUUGAGUAUUUCCUAUCUUAUGUCAGUGAGGAUUUUUUGGGAGAUAUUGCAAUGUAUACAAAUAUGAAAUCAAUUGAAACUACAGGUGCAUGUAUUAACACAAACAGCAAAGAAAUUGCCACUUUCAUAGGAAUGACAUUUGCUAUGUCAAUCAUAAAGAUGCCAAGAAUUAGAAUGUAUUGGCAGUCAAAAACUAGGAUCCCUUGGAUAGCUGAUAAAAUGGCAAGAGACAGAUUUUUCCGUCUCAGACAUUCGUUAAAGGUUAUUAAUGAUAACACUGUAUUGGAAGACGACAAAAAAGUGACAGGUUAUGGAAAGUAAGACCUUUGUUGGAAGCAGUACGAACUCGUUGCAGCGAGUUGCCAAGGCCAUCGAAGGUCAGUAUUGAUGAAAGCAUGAUUCCUUUUCGAGGUAGAAUCAGUAUCAGGCAACAUGUCCCUGGCAAACCUUUCCCAGACGGGUUAAAAAUGUUUGUCCUAGCUUCUCCAAGUGGAAUGGUACUCGAUUUGAAAUUUUUCA